rnacentral:rRNA from 1 species
GACGAACGCUGGCGGCGUGCCUAAUACAUGCAAGUCGAGCGGACGGAUGGGAGCUUGCUCCCAGACCGUCAGCGGCGGACGGGUGAGUAACACGUGGUCAACCUGCCUGUAAGACUGGGAUAACUCCGGGAAACCGGGCCUAAAACCGGAUAACUCUUUCCCUCCCAUGUGGGGAAGCUGAAAGAUGGCAUCUCGCUAUCACUUACAGAUGUGCUCGCGCCGCAUUUGCUAGUUGGUGUGGUAACGGCUCACCAAGGCGACGAUGCGUAGCCGACCUGAGGGGGUGAUCGGCCGCACUGGGACUGAGACACGGCCCAGACUCCUGCGGGAGGCAGCAGUAGGGAAUCUUCCGCAGUGGACGAAAGUCUGACGGAGCAGCGCCGCGUGAGUGAUGACGGUUUUCGGAUCGUAAAACUCUGUUGUCAGGGAAGAACAAGUACCGGAGCAACUGCCGGUACCGUGACGGUACCUGGCCAGAAAGCCACGGCUAACUACGUG